UGGCGAACGGGUGAGUAAUGCGUGACCAACCUGCCCCAUGCUCCAGAAUAGCUCUUGGAAACGGGUGGUAAUGCUGGAUGCUCCAACUUGACGAAUGUCUUGUUGGGAAAGUGUUUAGUGGCAUGGGAUGGGGUCGCGUCCUAUCAGCUUGUAGGCGGGGUAAUGGCCCACCUAGGCUUCGACGGGUAGCCGGCCUGAGAGGGCGGACGGCCACAUUGGGACUGAGAUACGGCCCGGACUCCUACGGGAGGCAGCAGCG
rnacentral:rRNA from 1 species